rnacentral:lncRNA from 1 species
CUUUCUCUCUUGUAACAUGUGAACCAACUCUACCAUGUGUUGUGGUGAUGAUGGACAGAAAACUGGGCUGGGCUAUGCCUCUUAUACAGACACCAGCAUUGCCUUUUAGAAAGGCAUAUGAGGUCAGCAGGACAUGUUGAGCCAAGCCAGCCCUCAAGUAUGUAAGGAAACUUGCCACUGACCUUUGGGUCCCUGAGAUCCUGAUUCCAUGAAUGUAUGGAGCAAGGCAAACAAGCUGGAUGCUUGCCUUAGGCCAAAAGGAUGUAUAGAUGGUAAUGGGACUCUACAGAAGGAAAAUGACUACUGGGGAAAGACAAUUGCAUUAGCUUUAGCUGUAAGGUGCUCACCUUUUCUACCAUACUACCACACAUAUGUAGUUGAACAUCUUGAAGACCUAGUUUAG